AAGACUAUAGACCUGCGGAGUACCUGCGGAGGGAUCAUUACAGAGUUCGUGCCCUCUGGGCAGACCUCCCACCCACUGUCAUUAUUACGAUUGUUGCUUUGGCGGGCCGCCCGGGCACCGCCCGGCCGCCGGCCGUCCGCCGGUGCGCGCCCGCCAGAGGCCCCCUAGACCCUGUAUGUCUGGCGUCGUCUGAGUCUCACAUAAUAGUGAAAACUUUUAACAAUGGAUCUCUAGAUCGGA
rnacentral:misc_RNA from 1 species